UACGGGGGGGGCAAGCGUUGUUCGGAAUUACUGGGCGUAAAGGGCGCGUAGGCGGCCAUCUAAGUCAGACGUGAAAUCCCUCGGCUCAACCGAGGAACUGCGUCUGAUACUGGAAGGCUUGAAUCCGGGAGAGGGAUGUGGAAUUCCAGAUGUAGCGGUGAAAUGCGUAGAUAUCUGGAGGAACACCGGUGGCGAAGGCGGCAUCCUGGACCGGUAUUGACGCUGAGGCGCGAAAGCUAGGGGAGCAAACGGG
rnacentral:rRNA from 1 species